CCUAACACAUGCAAGUCGAACGGUAACAGGAAGAAGCUUGCUUCUUUGCUGACGAGUGGCGGACGGGUGAGUAAUGUCUGGGAAACUGCCUGAUGGAGGGGGAUAACUACUGGAAACGGUAGCUAAUACCGCAUAACGUCGCAAGACCAAAGAGGGGGACCUUCGGGCCUCUUGCCAUCGGAUGUGCCCAGAUGGGAUUAGCUAGUAGGUGGGGUAACGGCUCACCUAGGCGACGAUCCCUAGCUGGUCUGAGAGGAUGACCAGCCACACUGGAACUGAGACACGGUCCAGACUCCUACGGGAGGCAGCAGUGGGGAAUAUUGCACAAUGGGCGCAAGCCUGAUGCAGCCAUGCCGCGUGUAUGAAGAAGGUCUUCGGGUUGUAAAGUACUUUCAGCGGGGAGGAAGGGAGUAAAGUUAAUACCUUUGCUCAUUGACGUUACCC
rnacentral:rRNA from 1 species